GAAUAGAGACAAGAACCGCUGGCUAAUUACUUCAGACACAAAUAUCAACGCCUUCCAGAUGCUCUGAUCAUGGCCAGCUCAUCGAUUGGCAGUCAUUGUGAGUGGAUUUUAAAUCUCUGAGCUGA
rnacentral:lncRNA from 1 species